rnacentral:rRNA from 1 species
UAGUUAUGUUCUUGAAACUUAAAAAAUUUGGCGGUAUUUUAGUCUAUUCAGAGGAACCUGUUCUAUAAUCGAUAAUCCACGAUGGACCUUACUUAAAUUUGUAUUCAGUUUAUAUACCGUCGUUAUUAGAAUAUUUUAUAAGAAUGUUAAUUUUCAAAAUUUUAAAAAAGAAAAUAUAUCAGAUCAAGGUGUAGCUUAUAUUUAAGUAGAAAUGGGUUACAAUAAAUUUAUUUAUAUGAAUAAAAAUAUGAAAAAUUUUUUGAAAGUGGAUUUGAUAGUAAAAUUAUAAAGAUUAAUAAUUUGAUUUUAGCUCUAAAAUAUGCACACAUCGCCCGUCACUCUUACUAUUAAGGUAAGAUAAGUCGUAACAUAGUAGAUGUACUGGAAAGUGUAUCUAGAAUGCAAUUUAAAGCUUAUUUAGUAAAGUAUUUCAUUUACAUUGAAAAGAUUUUUGUGCAAAUCAAUAUAAAUUGAUUAAAUUUUAUUUAUUUAUUUUUUUUUAAAAAAAAAUUAAUUAUUAAAAAUAAUUAUAAAAAAUAAUGUUUUAGUAUUUAAUAAA